CGCCUUGCCAGCCCGCUCAGAAACUUAAAGGAAGUUGACGGGGGCCCGCACAAGCGGUGGAGUAUGUGGUUUAAUUCGAUGCAACGCGAAGAACCUUACCUGGUCUUGACAUCCCGGAGACCCUUAGGAAACUAGGGGUGCUUCCAUCUGGAAGAAUCUGGAGACGGGUGCUGCAUGGCUGUCGUCAGCUCGUGUCGUGAGAUGUUGGGUUAAGUCCCGCAACGAGCGCAACCCUUGCCUUUAGUUGCCAGCAGUUCGGCUGGGCACUCUAAAGGGACUGCCGGUGUUAAACCGGAGGAAGGUGGGGAUGACGUCAAGUCCUCAUGGCCUUUAUGACCAGGGCUACACACGUACUACAAUGGCCGAUACAAAGGGCAGCGACACUGCGAGGUGAAGCCAAUCCCGUAAAAUCGGUCUCAGUCCGGAUUGGAGUCUGCAACUCGACUCCAUGAAGUUGGAAUCGCUAGUAAUCGUGGAUCAGCAUGCCACGGUGAAUACGUUCCCGGGCCUU
rnacentral:rRNA from 1 species